GACGGAGGGAGCAAGCGUUGUUCGGAUUUACUGGGCGUAAAGGGCGUCUAGGCGGACUAGUCAGUCAGAUGUGAAACCCCCCGGCUCAACCGGGGAACUGCAUUUGAUACUACUAGUCUUGAGUACGGAAGAGGAAAGCGGAAUUCCUGGUGUAGCGGUGAAAUGCGUAGAUAUCAGGAAGAACACCGGUGGCGAAGGCGGCUUUCUGGUUCGAUACUGACGCUAAAGCGCGAAAGUGUGGGGAGCAAACAGGAUUAGAUACCCUGGUAGUCCACACUGUAAACGAUGGAUACUAGGUGUCGGGGGUAUCGACCCCCCCGGUGCCGCAGCUAACGCAUUAAGUAUCCCGCCUGGGGAGUACGGUCGCAAGGCUG
rnacentral:rRNA from 1 species